AUUGAACGCUGGCGGCAUGCCUUACACAUGCAAGUCGAACGGCAGCACGGGUGCUUGCACCUGGUGGCGAGUGGCGAACGGGUGAGUAAUACAUCGGAACAUACCUUAUCGUGGGGGAUAACGCAGCGAAAGCUGUGCUAAUACCGCAUACGCCCUGAGGGGGAAAGCGGGGGAUCGAAAGACCUCGCGCGAUUAGAGCGGCCGAUGCCUGAUUAGCUUGUUGGUGGGGUAAAAGCCUACCAAGGCGACGAUCAGUAGCUGGUCUGAGAGGACGAUCAGCCACACUGGGACUGAGAAACGGCCCAGACUCCUACGGGAGGCAGCAGUGGGGAAUUUUGGACAAUGGGGGCAACCCUGAUCCAGCAAUGCCGCGUGAGUGAAGAAGGCCUUCGGGUUGUAAAGCUCUUUUGUCAGGGAAGAAACACCGGCUCUAACACAGUCCGGGAAUGACGGUACCUGAAGAAUAAGCACCGGCUAACUACGUGCCAGCCGCCGCGGUAA
rnacentral:rRNA from 1 species